GAUGAACGCUGGCGGCGUGCCUAAUACAUGCAAGUCGAGCGAACAGACGAGGAGCUUGCUCCUCUGACGUUAGCGGCGGACGGGUGAGUAACACGUGGAUAACCUACCUAUAAGACUGGGAUAACUUCGGGAAACCGGAGCUAAUACCGGAUAAUAUAUUGAACCGCAUGGUUCAAUAGUGAAAGACGGUUUUGCUGUCACUUAUAGAUGGAUCCGCGCCGCAUUAGCUAGUUGGUAAGGUAACGGCUUACCAAGGCAACGAUGCGUAGCCGACCUGAGAGGGUGAUCGCCCACCUUGGAGCUGAGCCAGGGUCAAGACUCCUACGGGAGGCAGCAGUAGGGAAUCGUCCGCAAUGGGCGAAAGCCUGACGGAGCAACGCCGAGUGAGUGAUGAAGGUCUUCGGAUCGUAAAACUCUGUUAUUAGGGAAGAACAAAUGUGUAAGUAAAUAUGCACGUAUUGACGGUACCUAAUCAGAAAGCCACGGCUAACUACGUG
rnacentral:rRNA from 1 species